rnacentral:rRNA from 1 species
GCGCAACCCUUAGUCCUUAGUUUACCAGCACGUUAUGGUGGGCGACUCUAAGGAGACUGCCGGUGACAAACCGGAGGAAGGUGGGGAUGACGUCAAGUCAUCAUGGCCCUUACGGCCUGGGCUACACACGUGCUACAAUGGUCGGUACAAAGGGUUGCCAAGCCGCGAGGUGGAGCUAAUCCCAUAAAACCGAUCGUAGUCCGGACCGCAGUCUGCAACUCGACUGCGUGAAGUCGGAAUCGCUAGUAAUCGUGAAUCAGAAUGUCACGGUGAAUACGUUCCCGGGCCUU